rnacentral:tRNA from 1 species
GUUUUAAUAGUUUAAUAAAAAAAAAUAUUGGUUUUGUAAACCAAUGAUAAGUCCUACUUUUAAAACU